GCCUUGAUGGUGAAAUGGUAGACACGCGAGAUUCAAAAUCUCGUGCUAUAAAGCAUGGAGGUUCGAGUCCUCUUCAAGGCA
rnacentral:tRNA from 37 species